rnacentral:rRNA from 1 species
UUAGAAGCAGCCAUCCUUUAAAGAAAGCGUAAUAGCUCACUGGUCUAGUGAUUUUGCGCGGAAAAUAUAACGGGGCUAAAAUGAGUACCGAAGCUUUAGAUAGUGUCUAUGAUUAUUUAUACUAGCUUGUCUCUUUGGCAUCUUUAAAUGAGCUUCAUUUUUUCUCCUGCGGCAACCUACACCGGUUAGCCUUAGUCGAAAAAAUAUCAGCAACAUUUAAAUCUGCGCAAAGAUACUUCGCUUUCUGCAUUCAAAUUUGAAUGCAACGUCUUAAUCUAAAAUUCUAUAAAUUUCAAAUUUCUUAGAAUUUUAAAAUUUAGCAACAAAAAGCAAAAAGACAAGCCUAAGUAAAGUAUAAAUACUCAUAGACACUGUGGUAGGAGAGCGUUCCAAUCAGCGUCGAAGCCGUACCGGUAAGGAGCGGUGGAGCGGUUGGAAGUGAGCAUGCAGGCAUGAGUAGCGAUAAAAUACGUGAGAAUCGUAUUCGCCGUAAACCCAAGGUUUCCUACGCGAUGCUCGUCAUCGUAGGGUUAGUCGGGUCCUAAGCAAAGUCCGAAAGGGGUAUGCGAUGGAAAAUCGGUUAAUAUUCCGAUACCGAUAUCAGUGUGCGACGGAAGGACGCUUAAAGUUAGUGGAGCUAGCGGAUGGAAGUGCUAGUCUAAGGAAGUAGGUUGAGUUAUAGGCAAAUCCGUAACUCUUUAUCCGAGAUCUGAAAGGCUUCUGACGCUCUUCGGAGUAGAUGAAGAAUCCAUGAUACUAUCGAGCCGAGAAAAGUUUCUAAGUUUAGCUGAUAUCGCCCGUACCGUAAACCGACACAGGUGGGUGGGAUGAGUAUUCUAAGGCGCGUGGAAGAACUCUCUUUAAGGAACUCUGCAAAAUAGCACCGUAUCUUCGGUAUAAGGUGUGCCUAGCUUCGUUAAGAAUUUACUUCGUAAGCGAAGAAGGUUACAACAAAGAGUCCCUCCCGACUGUUUACCAUAAACACAGCACUCUGCUAACUCGUAAGAGGAUGUAUAGGGUGUGACGCCUGCCCGGUGCUCGAAGGUUAAUUGAUGAUGUUAGCUUAUGCAAAGCAUCUGAUCGAAGCCCGAGUAAACGGCGGCCGUAACUAUAACGGUCCUAAGGUAGCGAAAUUCCUUGUCGAUUAAAUAUCGACCUGCAUGAAUGGCGUAACGAGAUGGGAGCUGUCUCGAAGAGGGAUCCAGUGAAAUUGUAGUGGAGGUGAAAAUUCCUCCUACCCGCGGCAAGACGGAAAGACCCCGUGGACCUUUACUAUAGCUUGACACUGCUACUUGGAUAAAGAUGCGCAGGAUAGGUGGGAGGCUUCGAUUCGUAGAUCUCGGUUUACGAUGAGCCAUUGUUGAGAUACCACUCUUCUUUAUUCGGGUAGCUAACUAGCCUAAGUUAUCCUUAGGUAGGACAAUGUCUGGUGGGUAGUUUGACUGGGGCGGUCGCCUCCCAAAAUGUAACGGAGGCUUACAAAGGUUGGCUCAGAACGGUUGGAAAUCGUUCGCAGAGUAUAAAGGCAAAAGCCAGCUUAACUGCGAGACAUACACGUCGAGCAGGGACGAAAGUCGGUCUUAGUGAUCCGGUGGUUCUGUGUGGAAGGGCCAUCGCUCAAAGGAUAAAAGGUACCCCGGGGAUAACAGGCUGAUCUCCCCCAAGAGCUCACAUCGACGGGGAGGUUUGGCACCUCGAUGUCGGCUCAUCGCAUCCUGGGGCU